rnacentral:lncRNA from 1 species
AAACAAACAAAAGUACUCUCGCGUUCGUAGUAAAUCGUCUCAACACAAACACACAUGAGAUCAACAUUGAACCAUUUGGAAUUGAUGCUGUAUCGUUUUAAAUGCAAUUGUUGGAUUUAAAAAGCAAAGACUUGUGGAGUGGAAAAUUUACAAAAUUUAAGAGCAAGUUUGAAGAAUUGGAGGUCAAAAUAUGCAUGCACGUUGCGUAGAACAAAUGGACAGCCCUAAAAGAAAUACCGCGAAUAAAUAAAUUUAUAUUCGACACAUGGAAUACGAGUAGUAUACCAAAACGCCACAGUGAGGUUCUGAAGUUGGCAUUUGGAGUGCUGGCAAUUUUUUGGUCGGCUUAUUCACGCGAGCAAGUGUACUUUUGCAUGAAUACAAUAAAAAAUAAAGUAAGAAGCCAAAUAACUAAUAAAAAUCAAGUGUCGUGCUUGAAACUUAAACAUAUUAUGAACAUAUUUAACAAAAUUUUCAAAAAAAAUGCAAAGCCAAUGCUCCCAAUGAUAUAACUAUCUAUUUAAUAACUGUAGUAUUUUAUUUUUAUAACUGUUAAAGUUUAAAAAUAAAUUAAUAUUAAACAAAUUAAGAAAAUUUUUAUUGACUCUUUAAAAUCUGGACAAUUUUGUAUAUUGUAACUUUUAGCUAUUCCGACGCAAAAUUUUGCCGACCCCUGACCUAACCUAACUAUACUUCUCUUCCCACUGAAUCUAAAAAAAAAAAUUCCACAACAAUAUUAUAUUUUUUAAACACUUAAUUACGUUUUAAUUAAUUAUAUUUCUUUUUUUGGGGGGGGGACAUAGCUAAGCGACGUCAUUCCCGCCAAUUUGCGUUCAGCAGGAAUAACUAUUUAUGAAUUUUAAAAUUCAGAUGAAUUAACCUAUUAACAUAAUUGAAAAGCUUUCCUAGGAUAAUAAAAACGAUAGCAGCCACUGUUAUAGGUGUGAAACUGGGAAAUGCCAUUUCGAAAAUUGUCUCCUUCCUUUCAAAAAUCAUAUACAUGCCACUAUUAAGAUUGAAUUUAUUCUUAGAAAAUUCGAUUACGGUUUUUUUUUUUAUUAUUAUCGAAGUUAAAUCAAAGUUAUAUUACAGUUACAAGACAAUAUUGACUAUUCGCCAAAAAUGGCAUAAUAAUAUAUUCAUAUAAAUAGUUUGUUAAUGUAUAGGAAAUGUAUUGGGUCUCUUAAAUACUGUGCCGGUGUAGCCAAUAAUACAAACGCCUAAUACAUUAAUGUAAUGAAUGUUAUUUAUACCUGUAAUAUAUUCAUAAUUCCUAAUUAUUUCAAUACGAUUAUAUUUAAGAAUAAAAAACAAAAAAAUACUCUUUAUCAGCAGACAGUAACACCACAGUACUACCUAGUCGUUAUCAGACGAAAAACACCAUAUCGUCUUAUCGCAAAAUAUAGCGCGAGCAUUUCGCGUAAUAUUACGUUCCUAUAUAAAGGCAUCCACGAUCGUCAUUUCAACAUAGCAUAUUUUCGUGAGAUUUUUGUCUUCGGUGAGUAGUCUUCGAAGCACGCGUGCGAAAAAAAUUAACAGUAAUCUAAUAUUAUUAUUAUUAUUUUUUUUUUUUAUUGCAGUUUUUAAUCAGUUUCCACUCAACUCGAACCAAAGUCACCAAAAAUGGGCGCUGAAAAAGUAUCCAUCAUGAACAUCGUUGUCGUAGGACAAGUCCAAUCUGCCAAGGCCGCCAAAAUCGUCGCCAAGGCCACUCUCGCUGCCAGCCAAUUGAUGGUAAAUAUAUACUUACACUGCCAGUCAAUAUUUAUUUUUUUUUUAAAUUGCAGUAUUUUACUUAUAAAAAUGAACGAUCUAAUAAAUUUGACUCACCUAUUUUAGUCCUUUAAUUCAUGUAUCACUGGUUUUUUUUAUAUUUUUAAAUUUUACUAAGAAUCGGAUAAAUAAAUUAGGAUUAUUAGGAUUAAAAUUUUUAUUUUUUCAUAUCAACAAAAAUAUUGAGUUUUAUUUUUUUUGUCAAUCAAUGCCAAAUUAUAAAAACAAUUACGUACCUAUCUAAUAUAUGAUUUGCAUUAUUUACAUUUAAUACGACAUGAUUUAAACAAUUUCAGAACUAAUUAAUUUUAUUAUUCACCAAAAUAAUUAAUGUGUACAAAUAAACUCGAACAUUUAUAUUUUUUAACAAUAAAUAUUUAAAAAUACAAACUCAAAUUUUUGGAUAAAAAAUUUAAUUGGUGCAAUUAGCAUAAUCGUUUAUUAAUUUGAAUUGUUAAUUUACGAUAAAAAUAUUCUAACACACUCUUAAUUAUAGAUAUUAUUGAUAAUUUAAUUAUAUUAAAACGUACCAUUUGUUAAUAAAAUUUCGUGACGUUAAUUGAAUGUCAUCAUCUAGUUCAUUGGUAUAGUAAUACUAAUUGUGUUGUUUUAUUUCAGAACUGUUAAUAUAUUCAUGAUGUAAUCCGUUCCAUCAAUCGCAAACUCAAAAAUGACAUAGUCCGUACAAUAUACAUAUCUAAUACCUUAUUAAUGUUAUAAUUAUUAAGUUAUUUAUGUGUAAUACAAUAUCAAAAAAUAUAUCAGUAUUUACCGCAAUUUACUAUUAAGUUUUUUUUUUUUUCCAAUUAUUUACAUUUUAAGCUAUUUAAAUAUUAGUUUAUCGUUUAAAUUCCUUAUCGUAAUCGAAGUCUUUAUUCCGAUUAA